rnacentral:rRNA from 1 species
AGACCCGAAACCCGGUGAUCUAGCCAUGGGCAGGUUGAAGGUUGGGUAACACUAACUGGAGGACCGAACCGACUAAUGUUGAAAAAUUAGCGGAUGACCUGUGGCUGGGGGUGAAAGGCCAAUCAAACCGGGAGAUAGCUGGUUCUCCCCGAAAGCUAUUUAGGUAGCGCCUCGUGAAUUCAUCUCCGGGGGUAGAGCACUGUUUCGGCUAGGGGGCCAUCCCGGCUUACCAACCCGAUGCAAACUGCGAAUACCGGAGAAUGUUAUCACGGGAGACACACGGCGGGUGCUAACGUCCGUCGUGAAGAGGGAAACAACCCAGACCGCCAGCUAAGGUCCCAAAGUCAUGGUUAAGUGGGAAACGAUGUGGGAAGGCCCAGACAGCCAGGAUGUUGGCUUAGAAGCAGCCAUCAUUUAAAGAAAGCGUAAUAGCUCACUGGUCGAGUCGGCCUGCGCGGAAGAUGUAACGGGGCUAAACCAUGCACCGAAGCUGCGGCAGCGAACGUAUCACUUAAAGCGAUUCAGCGGGUUACGAUUGACGGAGCGAAGCGACGUCAAAGCGUAUACAAAGUCGAGUCGGUUUAAGGAUACGUUCGUUGGGUAGGGGAGCGUUCUGUAAGCCUGUGAAGGUGUGUCGUGAGGCAUGCUGGAGGUAUCAGAAGUGCGAAUGCUGACAUAAGUAACGAUAAAGCGGGUGAAAAGCCCGCUCGCCGGAAGACCAAGGGUUCCUGUCCAACGUUAAUCGGGGCAGGGUGAGUCGACCCCUAAGGCGAGGCCGAAAGGCGUAGUCGAUGGGAAACGGGUUAAUAUUCCCGUACUUGGUGUUACUGCGAAGGGGGGACGGAGAAGGCUAUGUUGGCCGGGCGACGGUUGUCCCGGUUUAAGCGUGUAGGUG